AGUGAACGCUGGCGGUAGGCCUAACACAUGCAAGUCGAACGGCAGCACAGUAAGAGCUUGCUCUUACGGGUGGCGAGUGGCGGACGGGUGAGGAAUACAUCGGACUCUACUUUUUCGUGGGGGAUAACGUAGGGAAACUUACGCUAAUACCGCAUACGACCUACGGGUGAAAGCAGGGGAUCUUCGGACCUUGCGCGAUUGAAUGAGCCGAUGUCGGGUUAGCUAGUUGGCGGGGUAAAGGCCCACCAAGGCGACGAUCCGUAGCUGGUCUGAGAGGAUGAUCAGCCACACUGGAACUGAGACACGGUCCAGACUCCUACGGGAGGCAGCAGUGGGGAAUAUUGGACAAUGGGCGCAAGCCUGAUCCAGCCAUACCGCGUGGGUGAAGAAGGCCUUCGGGUUGUAAAGCCCUUUUGUGGGGAAAGAAAAGCAGCAGGUUAAUACCCCGCUGUUCUGACGGUACCCAAAGAAUAAGCACCGGCUAACUUCGUG
rnacentral:rRNA from 1 species